UGUUGGUGCUGAUCAUAAGAGGUCUUCAGUAUCUGAUUGUUGUGUUUUUUAGUAAAACCAACACAAAACAGAUGAAAGAAGUAACCAUCGGUAGUCUUGACAUCAACAUGAGCUUCAAUCAUUGUUGAACAUUUUUCAACCAUGGAACAUAUUUUGUCACAGGUUCUCCAGAGAAAGAGCAGAGAGAUAGAGGUAGAGCUAUACACAUAGAGAGAGACAGAUUGAUUUGUUGUAAGGGAUGGCUCACAUGGUUAUGGAGGCUAAGGAGUCCUGGAGUCUGCAGUCAGCAAGCUGGAGACCCAAGACGGCCAAUGAUAUAGUUCCAACUCGAGUCCACAUCUAAAUUCAGGAGAAGAUUGAUGUCCCAGCUCAAAUAUAAUCAGGAUCAACCACCAUCAUGAAUGACACAGUAACUACCUGGACCAGGAAGUUCAUGACCAAUCGACCGCUCCAGAGGAAACAAAUGGUCACCAAUGUCCUUCACCCUGGAAAGGAAACAAAAUGUACAAGACCACAAUGGAUGUCAUCUUCAUAUUAAUAGUUGGACUCAGAACCCAUUUUGGUGGUGGUUAAACAAUCGUCACUCACAUUGGAGUGCAGUGGUACGAUCUCAGGUUCCCAAAUCUCUGCCUCCCAGGCUUAAGCAAUUCUCCUGCCUCAG
rnacentral:lncRNA from 1 species